CCAAGAUCCAGCAGCAAGGCGAUUUUACUGGACACGUGCGACACUCAUUAAUGGACAACGCAGCAUGCACAAUUUGUGCCAAAGGAUCCAAUGGUCAGGUAAGUAUGGGAAAACUGGACUUGAAAAAGAAUUGCCUUCCGCUUUACCCUUUGUCAAGUGGAGGAAAAAUGCAUAAGACAAAAUAGUCCCAUCUUUGCCGUAUAUAGUUUGAGAAGAAAACAAAAGAAGUAUGGAUUUGAAACAGCAAGAGAAGAAGAUUCAAUUGAAGAAAGC